UACGGAGGGUGCAAGCGUUGCUCGGAAUCACUGGGCGUAAAGCGACCGCAGGCGGUCUGACAAGUCGGAUGUGAAAGCCCUGGGCUCAACUCAGGAACUGCAUUUGUGACUGCAUGGCUAGAGUGCGGCAGAGGGGGAUGGAAUUCCGCGUGUAGCAGUGAAAUGCGUAGAUAUGCGGAGGAACACCGAUGGCGAAGGCAAUCCCCUGGGCCUGCACUGACGCUCAUGCACGAAAGCGUGGGGAGCAAACAGG
rnacentral:rRNA from 1 species